rnacentral:rRNA from 1 species
UUUAAGUCCAUUGGAAAAUGGCGCCAUGGAGGGUGAUAGCCCCGUAAAAGUAUCCCUUUUCCUUUUAUCCAUUCCCUCCAAAGAGUCGAGUUGUUUGGGAAUGCAGCUCUAAGUGGGUGGUAAAUUCCAUCUAAAGCUAAAUAUUGGCGAGAGACCGAUAGCGAACAAGUACAGUGAUGGAAAGAUGAAAAGCACUUUGAAAAGAGAGUGAAAAAGUACGUGAAAUUGUUGAAAGGGAAGGGUUUGCAAGCAGACACAACCUCGGUUGGGCCAGCAUCGGAGUGGGGGGAGACAAAAAAGAAAAGGAAUGUAACUCUUU